UCCGCCGCCGCCUCUCCCGCUCCAAUGGACUCCGCCCCCAAAACCCUCCGCACCCGACUCUGCAUCAUCGGCAGCGGCCCCGCCGCCCACACCGCUGCCAUCUACGCCGCCCGCGCCGAGCUGAAACCCAUUCUCUUCGAAGGCUGGAUGGCCAACGACAUCGCCGCUGGCGGCCAGCUCACCACCACAACCGACGUCGAGAACUUCCCCGGCUUUCCCGACGGUAUCAUGGGCUUCGAUCUCAUGGACAGGUGCCGCGCCCAGUCCACCCGCUUCGGCACCGAGAUCUUCUCCGAAACCGUCACCCACGUCGAUUUCUCCACCCGCCCUUUCAAGAUCGUCUCCGAUUCCACCUCCGUUGAAGCCGACGCCGUCAUCGUCGCAACCGGCGCCGUCGCCCGCCGGCUCCAUUUCACCGGUUCCGAGGAGUACUGGAACCGCGGGAUCUCGGCUUGCGCGGUCUGCGACGGUGCAGCGCCGAUCUUCCGGAACCGCCCGAUUGCCGUGAUUGGCGGUGGAGAUUCGGCGAUGGAGGAAGCUAAUUUUUUGACUAAGUAUGGUUCACAGGUGUACAUUAUUCAUAGACGGGAUACGUUCCGUGCGUCGAAGAUUAUGCAGGCGAGGGCGCUGGCGAACAAGAAGAUUCAGGUGGUAUGGAACUCGGAGGUGGUGGAGGCAUAUGGGGAGGGCGAGAACGGCCAGUUGGCUGGGGUGAAGGUGAGGAACUUUGGAUCGGGGGAGAUCUCGGAUAUUAAGCUGUCGGGAUUGUUCUUUGCUAUUGGGCAUGAGCCGGCUACGAAGUUUCUUGCAGGGCAGCUGGAGUUGGAUUCUGAUGGGUAUGUGGUGACGAAGCCGGGGACGGCGCAUACUAGUGUGAAGGGGGUGUUUGCUGCGGGGGAUGUACAGGAUAAGAAGUAUCGGCAGGCGAUUACCGCUGCGGGAUCAGGGUGUAUGGCUGCCUUGGAUGCGGAGCACUACCUGCAGGAGAUUGGAAGUCAGGCGGGAAAAAGUGAUUGACUAUCUUUAUAUCCUGCCACUGCCUGCUCCUCAUCGCCAGUGAAGGCUAAUUUAUAGGAUGCAUGGUAUACUGCAGGAGCUUAGCAAUUUAUUACUAUUAUUAUUAUUCCUCCAAUUGAACUGAUUAAGAAAUUCAGUAGUGAUUGGUGAUCAUGUUGUUUGGAUUUAUGUUACUUUGUUAUUUUAUUAUUCUG
rnacentral:misc_RNA from 1 species